GUCUACAGCCAUACCACCCUGAACCUGCCUGAUCUCAUCUCAUCUGGAAGCUAAGCAGGGUAGGACCUGGUUAGUACUUGGAUGGAAGACCUCUGGGGAAUACUGGGUUUUGUAGGCA
rnacentral:rRNA from 1 species